rnacentral:pre_miRNA from 1 species
ACUUAUUAUUAAAUAAAAACAACGUCGGGAUUUAGGGUGUUAUAAGUUGUGUUGAACUGGGUUAACAAACUCUAUGUGUUUUUUACUUUCCUGCCUUUUAUUUUUUUGUUUUGUUUAUGCUUACUGCUAGCGUGAUGUUGGAACUUUAAAUGGAACAUAUGCUGUCUGUGCAUCUGAAAUUGAAACAUCACAUAGAACAACUUCUAAUUAACACGCUAAAAUUCAACAUCCGUUAUAUUUGCCUUGAUCUGUC